CAUGACGCCGUUUUUGACGUAUGUGACG
rnacentral:piRNA from 1 species